rnacentral:rRNA from 1 species
AGUGAACGCUGGCGGUAGGCCUAACACAUGCAAGUCGAACGGCAGCACAGUAAGAGCUUGCUCUUACGGGUGGCGAGUGGCGGACGGGUGAGGAAUACAUCGGAAUCUACUUUUUCGUGGGGGACAACGUAGGGAAACUUACGCUAAUACCGCAUACGACCUACGGGUGAAAGCAGGGGAUCUUCGGACCUUGCGCGAUUGAAUGAGCCGAUGUCGGAUUAGCUAGUUGGCGGGGUAAAGGCCCACCAAGGCGACGAUCCGUAGCUGGUCUGAGGGGAUGAUCAGCCACACUGAAACUAAGAAACGGUCCAGAUACCUACGGAAGGCAGCAGGGGGGAAUAUUGGACAAGGGGCGAAGCCCUGAUCCAGCCAGACCGCGUGGGUGAAGAAGGCCUUCGGGUGGUAAAGCCCUUUUGUUGGGAAAGAAAAGCGGCAGGUUAAUACCCCGCUGUUCGAACGGAACCAAAAGAAUAAGCACCGGCUAACUUCGU